CUUAAUUUGAAUAACUUUUUCAAAGCAGGAUUUCCUUUAGAUUAGUAUUAGAUAUGCUUCCCAUAGCCUUAGCAAUGUACCAAUUUUUGAGGCUAACCACUAGUGACGAUCUGUCAGCCAAGUAACGAGGUCAAUGGAGACACUAAUUUCUGAAUCAAUAGCCAAUCCAAAGUAUCCAAGGAGUGGAGAAUUGGAGUAGCCGGAAAAUCGACAAUAAAGACAGGCCUUGGUCCGUAGUGAACUAUACUGUGGAUUUGGCUUUUGUAUUUGUCCAAAAACUGGGCUUCAUGAGACUUAUCUUUCGGAAUGCUUUUUCGAAAUACCUAGAAAAUCAAUUCCCCAAACUCCAAAGAACUCACUGCAAUAACCGAGAGCAGAAAACACAGCCAAAAAUACAGUGAAAACCCAGAAAAACAAACAGACCCAAAAAUCCCACUGCUUUAAUUGUACUUAGAAACCCAAGAAAGCAGAUUCAGAUUUGGAGAACAGAAUAAUAAAAAAAGGGGUAAAUUCCUUUUUCCUCAAAAUAAAAUCUGUGUACAUGUUCAUAGUUCAUAUAUACACUUCUCUGUACUUAGAAAAUUGCAAAAAGACUCGAUAAAACUUCAAACCCCAUAAUACAGAAUAUCCAACACGACUUUCACGCGCCAACACAUAACCCACCCUCAAUCUACAAUCUUCAGAACUUCCAUUCCUUGAAUCCAUUACCCACACACCGUCUAGAGCCACCAGAUCGAAGAGAGGGAGUGAGAGCCUUAGGGUUUGAAAUUUUCGAAUAUGUAGAGAUAGACGGGUUUGUACUGGGAUGAUUGAAGUGGAAAUCGCUGCCUUUGGUGGCGGUGGCGUUUAGGAUGAUUGAAGUUGGUUUUACCUUUGGGCCUCCACUGACUGUGUCACUACCGAAAUUCUUGUGAAAACGGCGGCCUUCCAUGGCUUAACACUUCUUUGAAUUUCAAUUUCAUACAGAAAGAGAGGGGGAAUUUCUUCUCUAGAGAGAUAUUGGGGAAAUAGAGCCAGAGGGAGAGAGAAAGAAAGAGGCAGAUGGGUUUGAGAGAAAUUUUGAUUUUAGCUUUGAUUUUGGGUUUCCGGCUGUGGGUGGGUGGAGCUGAGUUUUAACCUUGGUUUGGUUUUGUUAACCAGAGUUAAGAUAAUGGGUAAAUGCUGAUAUGGACCUGAAUCAGAAAAAAUUGCCACAUGUCACUUUCGUAUUGGCUGGCAGGAGCUAGGAGGACCACAUCAGUGGUCCUCCCGGAGGAACCAAUAAUUUCUCCCAAAGCGGCCAAGCCCUGAACUGUAAUAAUAGUGUGAUAAGAGUUUGCGAGCGAUAAAAGAUGGGUUUGGGAGAGGCAAAGAGAAGAGAGUACUACAAACAAACAAGACUGCAUCGCUAUUAACGCCCGGCCCAUAGCAACACCUCUGUUCUGUUCACAAGUGCAGGAGAAGAUGAAGCGAGCUACAGUCGACCCAUUACCCAGUGUUACUCAAGAUAUUAAUUGCUGGGUACAAGGCUGGCAAGUGUCUGUGGGUUUAUAUGAAUAGGGGAAUAUACUAUCAGGCUUAUGUAUCUGGUUUAAAUAUCAAAAGUUUCUAAGAAAUAACUCAGACAUGUUUUGAAGAUUGCAUAUAUGCGGACAUUCCAGGUGUAUUGGUUCCCAGUAUCCCUGACAUAGAGACAGAACUGAAGCUGGCUCUUGCAGGUAUCAUCCUCUUACAAAUAAUUUCUCUUUAGUUUCUUAUGAGAUUUCUUACAGUACACAUGUGAAUGUGCACACACAUAUACACACAGCUACCUGCAUGCUUUUUUAGUUUUAGAUGUGCUAAUCUUGCUUGAAAGAUCACUGUUGUAAACAGACAAAAAUAAGUGACUCUCUAUUCACUAUUAAGAGAAGCCAUAGACCACUCAACCUGUGCUGAUUUGGUUGUAACAAACCCAAGUGGAUUCAGCUUCAAUUAUGUUGGGUAAGGCCUAAAAGUUUUAUGCCUCAAGAUGUGUCGGUUAGGGAUGGGACUUAAACCCUCUUGUUGACCUCCAGGCAACGCAGGUUGCCCAAGCUGCAGCUUCUAAAAUAUUAUUCUUGGUGUCUUGGAAUUUAUUAGUCUUUUUUCUUUUAUUUUUGUGUAUAUGUGGUUUUUUUGGGGGGUUGGGGGGAGUUGUUCAAGUCAACUUGAAAUUACUUUUGUCACAUUGUACUGCUUAUUCUAUCUAACAAAGCUUACCAAACUUUUAAAUGCACAUGAAGGGUCUGUAAAAUGUAAGCACUGGAACAACAGGAGGCUGGAAAGGGAUUCGAUAUGAUUAUAAGGAAAAACAUGAGUAUAAGCCGCCAUUUGACUCUGAUAUGUUUUACAUUGAGUACUUGCCAGCAGUUCUAAAUACUCAAGGGACUCCUCUUCAUUGGAAGCACUUGAACAAUAGGAGACUGGAAGGGAUUCAAUAUGAUUCUAAGGAAAAACAUUAGUAUAAUCUUAAAGAUAUUCGGCCAAAAAGGAGGAAGCUGCCAAAUGACUCAGAUAUGCUUUACAUUGAGUAAUAUAGGAUCGUUCUCAUUUAAUCAUUUUAUUCAGGAUGACCCAAAGUAUUUUAAAACUUUUUGUCACAUGACAAGUCUGAAAGGAGACAAACUUAACUAUGGGCAUAAGAAAAAUUGUUCUAGGGACAACAUAGAACCAAAUAAACUUCAUGAUAAGUUUUGUCGUUGAGAUAUUACAUGCGUUAGACACUAUUUUUGUUCUUACAAAUGGAUGGCAAAUUAUCAGAUUAGAAAUUUUUUCUGGGAAAUUUAGUUUUCUUGUCAUGAAUGAAGAUUUAAUUUUGAUAACAUAUUUUCUGGUCAUGAAUGUGUUACAGUGGGCCUAUGUUUUGAUAACAUAUUUUAUUGACAUUCAUGUAGGACAUCAUGAAGUUAUUCUGUUGUGCUUACUGUAUGAAGGGGUUUUUUAUGACCAGGGACAAGAAUGGAGAAUGUAAACUUGAAAUGUGGGCAAAUGCUAGACAGACUGACAGAGUCAAUGAACUACGACUUUAGAUAUGACAGGCUUAAUUUGAAACAGAUGAUCAGUAAGUUCAGACAAAAUAAUCUGGUUUCUAGUUUCAGUAGAUGGCUUUUAAGAAGGAUGUGAAGCUUUUUUGUUAUUUUUGACAGUAAUGUUGUUUUGUUAAUACUGAAAAAAAAAAUGAAGAAUAGCGGAAAGAGUGAAUGACAACAAUUUAUAAAGGUUUUACCUAGUGCACAAAGCUCCAACUUUUGCGGGGUGCCCUUGUUCAUGCUUAUUAGAUAGUGGAUGACAGUCCUGUUGUGCAUGUGAGUGUCAGCCAGUGCCCUUGUCCAUGCUUCUUAGAUAGUGACAGUGAGGAGCUCAUACUCUCGCUGAUUUAUCAAUUGUUAAAUAUAAGCAAUAGUUUUGUUUUUGUUUCCUAUAAAAAAAAACAAUAAAAAAAAAUGUUUUAGUUUUUGUUGGAUUUGAUUUGAUCAGAUAACUUUUGAGGGUGAUUGGGAUCAAAAGUGCUUGAUUUAGGCAAAGCGUCAAUGUCCCAAUUUUUAUUAUUAUUAUAUUUUGGAGGCAUAGAAAGUGUUUGUUGAAAUGCCUCAUAGAGUUUUGGUUUGUCUGAACUUGUUAUGGCUUUGUAUCCAUGUUUAUGUGGUUCUGCUUUUUUUUUUUUUUUUUUUUUUUAGUUGUUAAAUCUGGUGUAUUGAAUAGUUUAUUUCUCAAACUGAAAUAAGUUUAUGAAAAUUUUUGUCCUAUAUAAUGUAAAAAAAUUACAAUAUUUCACUUUUCUUUUGUCAUUUUGAUUAUGAUUGCAUUUUAUGCUAUAGAUCUUCUUAGAGACUUUAUUUAUACUCUCUAAUGCUAUGAGGAACACAAUGGAUUAAUUUGCAAGAUGCCAUAAUGCCACCUUGGUUAUAUAACGUUGUGAAGUGCAACUUCUCUUUGUUUUGUGAUUUUGAUAGCGGCCUAUGGAUAAUUUUUAUAGUUAAACUUGAUGUUGGUUGCUUCAACAUGGAUGCAGAGUCUGCAGACAUGCAGCUACUGCACUAUACCUCUCAAUCUACUUUACUCUAGUAAUGGCAAUCCAUUCCUGACCAAUUUAAGCGAAGUUGUUGGACAAAGUGGCUGGCUUCGGUUAUGAUUCAAACAAGCAUCACCAUUCAACAAGGGGACUCUAGGCUAGCUAAAUAGUAUGAAUAUCUUGCAGCGUCAACAUUAGAAGCAAAUUUCAAGCAACGUGGAUAAGCAUGAGUGUUCCUUUAUCCAAGGGAGCUGUUAGUAGUCUAUUAGAAUUAGAAUUUAGCCAAUAGGUAGAUUUUUCAGAUUGAGUUAUUAGUUUAUUAUUUGUUCUUGGACCUUAUCAAGUUGAUGUUGUAUCAAUUAGUCCUCUAUCUCUAUGUCAAGUUGAUGUUUACAGGAUGUAUGAAUUAUUCAUCUCAAAUAGAAUGUAUUUGAUAUUAUGUUAGAUUGCUCAAAGCAAAUUCAUGAUUUAUGAA